rnacentral:rRNA from 1 species
AGAGUUUGAUCAUGGCUCAGGAUGAACGCUAGAAAAAGGCUUAACACAUGCAAGUCGAGGGGCAGCAUAAUUUUAGCUUGCUAAGAUUGAUGGCGACCGGCGGAUGGGUGAGUAACGCGUAUGCAACCUACCGAUAAAUAAGGGAUAACCCGGCGAAAGUCGGACUAAUACCGUAUAGUCUUAUAAUUUCGCAUGAGAAUGUAAGUAAAGAUUUAUCGUUUAUCGAUGGGCAUGCGUUCCAUUAGUUAGUUGGUGAGGUAACGGCUCACCA